GGGCACAUGGUGUAGGGGUUAUCACGUUCGCUUUGCAUAUCGUCCAUCUCGAUGAGGUGUGCGAAAGGUCUCCGGUUCAAUUCCGGAUGUGUCCA